CGGACGGGCCGCACAAGCGGUGGAGUAUGUGGUUUAAUUCGAUGCAACGCGAAGAACCUUACCUGGUCUUGACAUCCCGGAGACCCUUAGGAAACUAGGGGUGCUUCCAUCUGGAAGAAUCUGGAGACAGGUGCUGCAUGGCUGUCGUCAGCUCGUGUCGUGAGAUGUUGGGUUAAGUCCCGCAACGAGCGCAACCCUUGCCUUUAGUUGCCAGCAGUUCGGCUGGGCACUCUAAAGGGACUGCCGGUGUUAAACCGGAGGAAGGUGGGGAUGACGUCAAGUCCUCAUGGCCUUUAUGACCAGGGCUACACACGUACUACAAUGGCCGAUACAAAGGGCAGCGACACUGCGAGGUGAAGCCAAUCCCGUAAAAUCGGUCUCAGUCCGGAUUGGAGUCUGCAACUCGACUCCAUGAAGUUGGAAUCGCUAGUAAUCGUGGAUCAGCAUGCCACGGUGAAUACGUUCCCGGGCCUU
rnacentral:rRNA from 1 species